rnacentral:rRNA from 1 species
AACGAACGCUGGCGGCAUGCCUAACACAUGCAAGUCGAACGAUCCCUUCGGGGAUAGUGGCGCACGGGUGCGUAACGCGUGGGAACCUGCCCUUAGGUUCGGAAUAACUCAGAGAAAUUUGAGCUAAUACCGGAUAAUGUCUUCGGACCAAAGAUUUAUCGCCUUUGUAUGGGCCCGCGUUGUAUUAGCUUGUUGGUGGGGUAAAGGCCUACCAAGGCGACGAUCCAUAGCUGGUCUGAGAGGAUGAUCAGCCACACUGGGACUGAGACACGGCCCAGACUCCUACGGGAGGCAGCAGUGGGGAAUAUUGGACAAUGGGCGAAAGCCUGAUCCAGCAAUGCCGCGUGAGUGAUGAAGGCCUUAGGGUUGUAAAGCUCUUUUACCCGGGAUGAUACUGACAGUACCGAGAGAAUAAGCCCCGGCUAACUCCGUG